rnacentral:lncRNA from 1 species
AUGCUGCUCUUAGAAGCUUCCGUUUGCUGUGGAGAAAAGCUGGGCCUCAGUGUCUCAUCUUCCAUCCUCCUUGCCUGGGACCUAAGCCUGGUGGUGGCCCUCGGCGUGGCCCAGGCAUCCCCGGAUGUCACAGCAGGCGGAAGCUUCUACUCACACCAUGUCCACGUUUGUGAGCUGGGAGAAGGAAGGGACGCGUCUCAGGGACCCCUGGAAGCUGGGGCUGGGUCAGGCGCCAUCCUGCAAGGAUUCCACACAACCAGAAAGGGGGCUCGAGGAGAAGCAGAGGGGGCUGCAUUGUGCAGCCCCAGGACGUCCAGGGCAGUGCCUGGCUGGGCUGUGAAAACCCGGAGGACAUUCCCAAGCCGCCCCACAUGGAGGCCUCCAGGAGAAGACGCUAGGUGGUUGCAGGCUGUUAGUCUGGCCCAAGUGAUAAAUCCUGGCCUGGAAUGCUGGCUCCCCUCCCAGCCUCCUCCGAGACAACCCAGCCCGGGACUCACACUGCGGCGACUCUUCAGUUCACUGCGUAUAAAGUGUUUACUGUGGAAGCUCAGAAACUCCAAAAUCAGGAAGGGAAAGUGGAAAUCCCACAUAAGAGCUCCGUCCACAGACAACCACAGGACGUCUGGCUUUAUAGUUCAGGCUGGCCCUGAACUCACUACUAGCCCAGGCUGGCCUUGAACUUGCAGUGAUUCUCCUGCCUCUGCCUCCUGAGUGCUGGGAUUACAGGCGCGUGACACCACACCUGGCUUUACAUUUAAUUAUUUUAGGUAAAUAAAGUAUUUUAGUUAAUGUAAACAGCCUACUUUGACUCUCUAUCCAUUGUUUUUCAUUUGUAAUAUGAGGAUAAAAAUCCCUGCUUUAUAAAAGUAUUGUAA